UUUGUAAUCCAGGGAUUCUAUCAACAGCUGAAGAUGAGUUUGCUGUGCUGUACUCAAGUUGUUUUCCUUUCAAUCUGUGCUAUCUCCUUGCAGUAUUCCUCUGCCACAAAGUGGACUUCGCGUACCAGCAUUCAGCAGGAUCUGUUUCGCACCCUGACUCUUUUCCUGACGAUCUGUGACAGCUCACAUGGCCUCCAAAGAUGGGAGUGAUGGAGAUGCCCAUAAUCCAGGGAGUGUUCUGAGCUCACAGAAGCAUAAAUGCGAAUUCUGCUGCCUUUCUCACGAAAAACCUCAUCGUCAUGUGCUGCAGGACGCAAUUCCCAGGGCACAAGAGUGUGGAUUACCAUAGAGAAAUGCACGAUUACAGUCAUAUGGCCAAGGCUCUCACCAAGCGUGCAGCUCCACGAGAAUGCUGUGAACUGCCCUCUCCAACCCGAGUGUUCCAAGCUGUGACACACCGAACUUUCCGACACACAGAACUCUUCUGACGGUGGUUGCAAAAUGACAAAUGGUUUCCAAGAAGACAAACGCUUUUGCUGUUUCCAUGCCCUGUGACCGCCAUCUCCAACCUUCCCUCUGCUGCCUGCAGCCGUGCCGCUCCCAGGCCCUUUGUUUUCUCUCCCGUGCAGUUGGUUGCGAAGUGCUGGAUCUGAGUGCUUCCAGCAGGACGGCUUGGGGGAAAGGAGGAGGCACCUCUGGCUGAGAGCUGAGGAAAUGGGGAUGAAGGAACCCAUCGCACUGCAGCAGAGCGGUUGGGUCAUGGCACUGAAAAUCAGCUCUGGAGCAAUUUGUGAGGUCUUUCCCAUUGUGCAGUUAUCCAAACUGGAACUGAGACCCUGGGCUAAGCUUAGGAUUGCAACGUCCGUGCCAGCUGAGUUUUGACCUGCCUGCUGCUGGCACUUGGGAAGAGAACAGAUGACAGAGACCCACUCUCUGAGUCCCCUCCAUAUGCAGGCAGUCCCUCUGUGCUGUGUCGCUGCUGCUCCGCAGGCACCCACAGAACUCUCACACAUAGGAGAGGCUGUCUUCUC
rnacentral:lncRNA from 7 species